GUUACAGUAAAAGAAGAGGAGGAUGCUGUUUUUGGAAUGAAGGAGGAGAAAGAGGGAGAGAUUACUGUCAUAUUGACAGAGGAGUCAGGAGAUCUGAUUACCACCAGAGAGGGACCAGACUCUCACUCUGACAGCGGGGAGACUCCUUCAGGGGAACCAGACCCAGAGACGCCCAAACCAGCGAGACAACACCACUGUUCCCAGUGUGGAAAGCGUUUUAAGUGGUUAAGGAACCUGAAAGUACAUGAGAGAAUACAGGAGAAAACCCUUACGAAUGCUCCCACUGUGGAAAGAGUUUUACCAAGUUAGGGAACCUAAAAGAGCAUGAGAGGACACACACAAGAGAAAAGAGUUUCCAAUGUUCCCAGUGUGGAAAGAGGUUUACCCAGUUACGGUACCUGAAACAACAUGAAGAAAUACACACAGAAGAUAGGAAGACCUACCACUGCUCUCAGUGUGGAAAGAUAUUUACUGGGUUAGGGAACCUGGAAAUACAUAUGAGAAGACACUCUGGAGAGAAGCCGUACCACUGUUCCCACUGUGUAAAGAGUUUUACUCAGUUAGGGAGCCUGAAACCACAUGAGAGGGGACACACUGGAGAGAAGCCUUAUCACUGUUCCCACUGUGGAAGGAAUUUUAGGUGGUAUGCGAGCCUGAAGGAGCAUGAGAGAAUACACACAGGAGAAAAGCCUUACCACUGUUCCAAUAGUGAAAAUAGUUUUACCCAUCGAGGGAGCCUGAAAGCGCAUGAGAGAAUACACUCAGGAGAAAAGCCUUACAAAUGUUCCCGAUGUGAAAAGAGUUUUACCCGGUUAGGGAGCCUGAAAAAGCAUGAGAGAACACACACAGGAGAAAAGCCUUUCCAACAUACUAAUACACAGGAGGAGAAGACAUACCACUGCUCUCAUUGUGAAAAGACAUUUUCCCAGUCAGAGGACCUGAAAUCACAUGAGAGAAUAGAGGCUGUGUUCUGACUUAUGUUUUUGAUUGAGAAAUUGUGUUUUUGUUCAUUCUACAUUAAAUAAUAUUGUAUGAAUGAAAUCAUACUGAAAAAUAGGUCUACAUGUUUUUCCCAGCUCAAGACAUGAUCAUGUCGAAAAUCGGAUUAAAAGAGUAAAAAAAAAUGUUUUGAUUAUGAACUUAAGAUUGAUUGAAUGCAAGUGUAAACCCCUAAAUGUUGUUCACUAUAUCAUUGGGAUAUUUCAAACAUGUUAAUUAUUAAAUAGAUUGAUAUUAGUAUUUCUUCAUUCAGAUUGUCAUUGUAAAUGCGUAUUGGUUCUCAAUUGACAUAUCUGAUUAAAUAAAUGUGAAAUAAAGUAAAUGCCAUAUUA